CCGUCUCGGCCGACCUAACAUCCAAUCAUGCUUCGCACCUUCCUCAUCCUGGCCCUGGCCACCUGCGCCCUCGCCGGCUACCUCGGCUUCCCAGCUCGUACUAGUUUCUCCUACCGUGCCACCCCCUUCUCCGGCUACGGGGCAGUUGCCCAUGUUCCAGCUUGGGGCUACGGCCAUGGUCUUGGAUACGGCUACGGUACCUACGGUUUGGGCUACGGUUUCGGCGGUCUGAGAUAUUGGUAGACUCGUGAGCCAAAAGUGCCCCAGACGACAGGCGAACUGGAAAUAGAAAUUUCAUGGCGGCUGACAAGCUCUUCAAGUUCCAGAGUUUUGCUGGAUGUGCCUUAUUGUUCACAAAUAAAAGAUGAUUCUGAUUCUA